UAAUAAGUGUUUUAUGGCACUUUUAAUCCAUAUCCACCUUGUGUGCAUGUCAGUCGAUCUUCUUCAUGGAGAUCGACCAAACAUCAACCUUUAUCUUUUAACUCUUUGUCUGAAAAUAUUAUGAAUAAACAAUUCAAAAUA
rnacentral:misc_RNA from 1 species